rnacentral:rRNA from 1 species
UGAUGGCGACCGGCGCACGGGUGAGUAACACGUAUCCAACCUUCCGUUUACUCAGGGAUAGCCUUUCGAAAGAAAGAUUAAUACCUGAUAGUAUGGUGAGAUUGCAUGAUAGCACCAUUAAAGAUUUAUUGGUAAACGAUGGGGAUGCGUUCCAUUAGGUAGUAGGCGGGGUAACGGCCCACCUAGCCGACGAUGGAUAGGGGUUCUGAGAGGAAGGUCCCCCACAUUGGAACUGAGACACGGUCCAAACUCCUACGGGAGGCAGCAGUGAGGAAUAUUGGUCAAUGGGCGAGAGCCUGAACCAGCCAAGUAGCGUGAAGGAUGAAGGUCCUACGGAUUGUAAACUUCUUUUAUACGGGAAUAAAGUAUCCUACGUGUAGGAUUUUGUAUGUACCGUAUGAAUAAGCAUCGGCUAACUCCGUGCCAGCAGCCGCGGUAAUACGGAGGAUGCGAGCGUUAUCCGGAUUUAUUAAGUUUAAAGGGAGCGCAGACGGGAGAUUAAGUCAGUUGUGAAAGUUUGCGGCUCAACCGUAAAAUUGCAGUUGAUACUGGUUUCCUUGAGUGCAGUUGAGGCAGGCGGAAUUCGUGGUGUAGCGGUGAAAUGCUUAGAUAUCACGAAGAACUCCGAUUGCGAAGGC